rnacentral:rRNA from 1 species
UACGUAGGUGGCAAGCGUUGUCCGGAUUUACUGGGCGUAAAGAGCGCGCAGGCGGUCGUUCAAGUCGCGUGUGAAAGCCCCCGGCUCAACUGGGGAGGGUCACGCGAUACUGAUCGACUCGAAGGCAGGAGAGGGUAGUGGAAUUCCCGGUGUAGUGGUGAAAUGCGCAGAUAUCGGGAGGAACACCAGUGGCGAAGGCGACUACCUGGCCUGUUCUUGACGCUGAGGUGCGAAAGCGUGGGGAGCAAACAGG